ACUCGUGGCUUGUCAUUCACAGCAAAGAGGAAAAAUAUUCUCUCUUCUCUUAUUUUCAGAUGCCAGGAUCUAAUGAUUAGAAUUUAACGUGACAGAAAUCUUACUUUAUUUUCUAGUGAUUAGUACCAUUCGAAGUGGUAUUAACAGAGCAACAUUAACUAAAAUCCUGUUUUCACAGAGUCAGAGCAUCUUUGAUGGGGCCAGAGUUCUGGCUGCUUCUUGAAGGAGAUUGUUUGUUUCAUUCGCAUCUUUAAAAACACUGGUGCCCACACUACAUCCUGGCACAAAGCUGGUGUUCAGUGCAUGUUUGCUCGGCACUGAAAGAGGAUCAAGGGCGCUCAAGGCUUCUGACCACAAAUUGAUGACAAUGUCGACAUGCCCGCAUGCACAGAGUCUAUGGCAAAGGAUUGCCACCCUCUUGAGACAUCCUUUCAAUUAUCCAGAGAUCCUGGGGCUUACAUGGUCCAAAGGGCAUCCGUUCUGCUUCCAAACAUGAGGCAAAGAGAAGGAGAACGGCGAUGACGGGGAUUUGGCUGAAACUGGAAGGCAGACUGCAGACUGUGGAUUCUUUUACCCCCUUAUCAUCUCUGGGAGCAAUCGUUACUUCUGAGUUAGGAAAAACAGCUUUCGGUCCUGCGACGUCCAGGGGCUCAUGGAGCAUCUUCUCUCCGGACGGGACGCAUCAGCCCCGUCCCUGCUCACAGUCACACUGUCUCCUGUGGGCCCAGCUCCUCCGCCUCCUUGAGGGUGAAUCUGCUCCCCGCCGUCCACGCACGUUUAGCAAAUUCAGGGGGAGAGUGUAAUGUGGCAGCCUGUGAAUAGGGCGCGUGUUCUGUGUGCAGGAGGCCGAGUGCACCGUGGGGACUGUGGCAAUCACAGUGGACCUGUCUCAUGUUCAUAGUUUUAGUUACGUAUGAAUAUGCCUUAGCUUAUUUCACAAAAUGUAGAAAUUAUAAGCAGGAAAACAGAAGCACGCAGAGCCUGCAUUUGUAGAUCUUUAACUGAAAUGCUUACAUUUGAGUGUGAUGCUUGGAUAAACAUUAGACAUGAGUGUGACUUUGGCUGGUGCUGAUGAAUUAUAAAUAAGAACAGUUUUCAGCUGAAAGAGAACAGGAUGAUCAUUUUACUACUUAACAUCCCUGCUAAUUUGACCUUUGGAGGCGUCAAUGGUUGCAUCCUGUAUUCCAGCUUGCAGGAACACAGGAACGGUUUUCUUCCUAAUUCCUUUGGUGGCUUGACGGUCUGUGUUCAUAUAACUGGAUUGAGCUCUGGAACCUGGCUGAGAAAUACUGGACCGUGAUUCAUGAGAGGCAAUAUCGUUGGGUCAAAAGUCCACGGGCUUCGGAUUGAGAAGGAUCCAGGUUCAAGUUCAAAUUCUGCAGUUUACUGUCUACAUGAACUUUAUUGGACCGUUUCUCUUUCCGGGUCCCUGAACCCAGGACAAAUGAAAAGACUCAGAACAGUUAGUUCAGGGGUUGGUUGAGGAGGUAGAAGUACACCCACGGGGUAACAAGGAAGAUGCCACAGUCAAGUGGUGACGCACGGGGAACACUGACUCUGAGAGAGAGCAGAACACCUUGGGAUUGUGAGGAAGCUUACACACUGCUCCUGACAUGAUACAUCCACAGUGGUUUGUACCAUCUUUUCAUCACUGAGACAGAAAUGGCCACAGCGCAGAAGAUUCUCAUAUGCUGGGGCAUUGCUAGCACUUUCCUGUGUUCAGUAUUAAAGCCACUGGGUGUUUUAAGUAGACCAAGGACCCCCGAAUAUUCAGCUUCCUGCUUCUGGGACGCUGGCCCAACUCUGGUUCCCUUGCCUGGGGGCCUUGGGCUCUCAGGGGAGAUGCUAACAGCGGGUGUCUGCCCUGCAGAGGAAGGUCCAGCUAAUGAGGGUCAGGCAGGGAGGGGUCCGGGCAGAGGAGGAUGGGAUGGGGGCGUCUGCCUUCACUCCCUCCAGCCCCAUCCACGAGCCCUGAGCAUGUAGAGAAGAGAGAGCCCACCGCUCCAUCCUGAGGGCUCUCCAGGUUGGGGGCAGCAGCCCCGGGAAGGUGGUGGCCUGAGCACCAUGACCGGACACGAGGCCCCUUUGAGAAGUUGCCACCAUCUGAGAGGACACCCUCCUCUGACCUGUUUCACAGCAGAGCUGACUUGCGGUGACUCUUGCAGGACUCGGGGACUUCCUGGGGGACAGAAGUCUCCAGUGCCGACUUCCCUGAGCUUCUGUUUUCUCACUGCAGCCUGGGAGGGGACAUCCUUCCACAGGGCUGUGGUGAGGCUUGAGCUCAGGUUCCCCUCCUGCCUUGGCCGCCUCACCCCACACGUGCUCUCCUGCCCAUCCCCAAAGCUCACCACCUCCCGCUCGCCCUUCCACAUUCGGGGUUCCUCCUCCGAGACCCCCAGGACUUUGGGCCCGACUUGGUUUUCCUCCAGUGGUUCCUGCCCUGCUCCACCGCUGCGCCUGUGGACCGCCCUCCCUACACCCACAUCCAGGCUGAUGGAUUGCUUGCACCCCCCUGCCCUAACCUCUGUCUCACUUCCAGAAGCCACUCAAGGACACACCUGGGCCUGGGGAACUGCUCUCCCUCAGGAAGGCCCCUUGCUAACGACAUGCUCUGCCCUCCCCGUGUCCCCCACACCCUCACCGAGCACGGCGGCCACUCCAUCCUGUGUCCAGGGCUUUGGUCAGCCUGGUCCUCAACUCCACGCCCCACGCGUCUCACCUCCACGCCCCACGCGUCUCACCUCUGUCCUUCCAGCCCUGGACACAGAGUAUAAUUAAAAUUCACUCUCACCGCCCCAUCAAUGUUCUUAACUCACUCACUCUAGAAAUGUUUACUGAACGACAAGGCUAUUCAAAACCAUCUCUUCCACUUCCUUCUCUUGCAUCUUCACAUCCACUUAUAGCCCCCCCUCCUUGGCUUAGUCACUCGUUAUACGCCCAUGUUUUAUGAACUCUAAGCAAUAUUGAUCAUAAAAUGUACCAUUACAUUAUGAGCCACAGAAAAUGAAAAAAAUGCUGCCAAUAAACAUUGAGAACUGCCAUCAAUUGUUAAGAUGUGUUCUGUUUUCAGGACUGUUAAAAUAUGAAAAAAUAAGCAUCUGAUAACAUACAAAGCAACGGUGUUUUUGAGAUCAAUGCUGAGACACCUCCCAAUCUUCCUUUCCUUCAGACGCUAAACUUCUAGAAAUAGACUGAGCUGUCAAUUUCUGCUUUCCUUCUUCCCAGGUAUUCU